AGAGAAUAGAUACCCAGGUAGUCCUGGCCCUAAACGAUGUCUACUAGAUCGUGGCGGCACUGACGCCGUCAUGGUCGAAGCAAAAGUGUUAAGUAGACCGCCUGGGAAGUACGGUCGCAAGGCUAAAACUCAAAGAAAUUGACGGGGGCUCACACAAGCGGUGGAGCAUGUGGUUCAAUUCGAAGCAACGCGAAGAACCUUACCUGGGCUUGACAUGCUAGGAUUAUCUCCAUGAAAGUGGAGUACGCGGCGCAAGCCGUGGAACUAGUACAGGUGCUGCAUGGCUGUCGUCAGCUCGUGUCGUGAGAUGUCGGGUUAAGUCCCUUAACGAGCGAAACCUUUGCCCUUAGUUGCCAUCGGGUUAUGCCGGGCACUCUAAGGGGACUGCCGGUGUCAAACCGGAGGAAGGUGGAGAUGACGUCAAGUCCUCAUGGCCUUUAUGCCCAGGGCCACACACGUGCUACAAUGGCGUCCACAAAGCGAACCGAGAGCGCAAGCUGGAGGAAAUCGCAGAAAUGACG
rnacentral:rRNA from 1 species